rnacentral:rRNA from 1 species
AGUGGCGAACGGGUGAGUAACACGUAAGUGAUCUGCCCUGGGGAUGGGGAUAGCUCAUGGAAACAUGGGGUAAGACCGAAUACCGUAACACUAUUUGAAGGUUAUGUUACGAAAAGAGCUACGGCUCUGCCCUGGGAUGAGCUUGCGGCCCAUUAGUUAGUUGGUGAGGUAAAGGCCCACCAAGGCAACGAUGGGUAGCCGGCCUGAGAGGGUGAACGGCCACAUUGGGACUGAGACACGGCCCAGACUCCUACGGGAGGCAGCAGCUAAGAAUCUUCCGCAAUGGGCGAAAGCCAGACGGAGCGACGCCGCGUGAACGAAGAAGGCAGAGAUGUUGUAAAGUUCUUUUCCUGUUGAAGAAUAAGUGGAAGAGGGAAUGCUUCUAUGAUGACGUUAGACAGGGAAUAAGCCACGGCUAAUUACGUGCCAGCAGCCGCGGUAACACGUAAGUGGCGAGCGUUGUUCGGAUUCAUUGGGCGUAAAGGGCGUGUAGGCGGCGUAUCAAGCUUGGUGUGAAAUAUUUCGGCUUAACCGAAAAAACGCGCUGAGAACUGAUAUGCUAGAGUUCAAGAGGGGGAGUUAGAAUUCCAGGUGUAGGGGUGAAAUCUGUAGAUAUCUGGAAGAAUACCGGUGGCGAAGGCGAACUCCUGGCAAUGAACUGACGCUGAGGCGCGAAAGCGUGGGUAGCGAACAGGAUUAGAUACCCUGGUAGUCCACGCUGUAAACUAUGGCACUAAGUGUUGGGGGGUUUACCUCCAGUGCUGAAGCGAACGUGAUAA